AAAAAAAAAAAAGCCCUCAUGUCCUGACUUCAGCUUCCAACUGGAAGACAGACUUGCUUCUUUUCAAAGGUUUUUACAGAUGCGGUGACCCACGCAGUGCAGUGAGAAUCAGCUAACUUUCAAAAACAUCUGGAAAAAUGAAGACAUGGAUGAAAACUGUCGUUGGAGUUGCCACCUUGGCUGGGCUUGCUUUACUCGUGAUAUGCAUUGUCUUCCGUCCCUCAAGAGUCCACAACCCUGAAAGAAACACAAGGAGAGCUCUCACUCUGAAGGAUAUUUUAAACGGAACAUUCUCGUAUAAAACAUUUUUUCCAAACUGGAUUUCAG